CCCGGGACGGCCGCACCGCCCGCAUUAAAUGCCGGAGGGGGCGCCGGCCAACCACCUUGACACGUGGCACGCGGUGCGCGGCCCUGCAUUCAAUCACCCACGCCGAUUCGCGUUCCCGAUGGGACGCCUGACAGUGGCCCUCUCUUCCACGAUCGGCGCCGGAUAUCCGAUCGACUAACGCCGUAUCGUCCGGCACCCGAUCUUCUGACACCGACGUAACGACUGACGACGACAAGACGUGGCGUCUGACAUCUGACGCCGACGUGAUGUCUGACAUCGACUAGACACCCGGAUCACUUGGAAUUCGUGAGGUGUCUGACAACGGAUCAGCCGGCGGUACGGUCGGAUCUGCACAUGCGACAAAUCCACUCCCAGUCGUCCGGGCUCGCUACCCGAAUGAGGGCAUCGGCCAGCUCUCCACCCGACUUAGGAGUGGAGGGGGGCAACUGUUGGGGGAUA
rnacentral:lncRNA from 1 species